AUGAACGCUGGCGGCGUGCCUAAUCCCUGCAAGUCGAGCGAACAGACGAGGAGCUUGCUCCUCUGACGUUAGCGGCGGACGGGUGAGUAACACGUGGAUAACCUACCUAUAAGACUGGGAUAACUUCGGGAAACCGGAGCUAAUACCGGAUAAUAUAUUGAACCGCAUGGUUCAAUAGUGAAAGACGGUUUUGCUGUCACUUAUAGAUGGAUCCGCGCCGCAUUAGCUAGUUGGUAAGGUAACGGCUUACCAAGGCAACGAUGCGUAGCUGACCUGAGAGGGUGAUCGGCCACACUGGAACUGAGACACGGUCCAGACUCCUACGGGAGGCAGCAGUAGGGAAUCUUCCGCAAUGGGCGAAAGCCUGACGGAGCAACGCCGCGUGAGUGAUGAAGGUCUUCGGAUCGUAAAACUCUGUUAUUAGGGAAGAACAAAUGUGUAAGUAACUAUGCACGUCUUGACGGUACCUAAUCAGAAAGCCACGGCUAACUACGUG
rnacentral:rRNA from 1 species